ACAGAGAUGGCGAGCGUUACUCGGAUUUAUUGGGUGUAAAGGGCAGGUAGGUGUUUCUCCAAGUUGGAAGUGAAAUCCUAAGGCUCAACCUUAGAACUGCUUACGAAACUGCAGCGAUUGAGAUCAGUAGAGGAGAGCGGAAUUCCCGGUGUAGGGGUGAAAUUUGUAGAUAUCCGGAAGAACACCAGUGGCGAAGGCGGCUCACUGGACUGGUAUUGACGCUGAGCUGCGAAAGCUUGGGGAGCAAACAG
rnacentral:rRNA from 1 species